GAAUUUUGGACAAUGGGCGCAAGCCUGAUCCAGCCAUGCCGCGUGAGUGAAGAAGGCCUUCGGGUUGUAAAGCUCUUUCGGCGGGGACGAAACGGUCCGUGCUAACACCACGGACUACUGACCGUACUCGCAGAAGAAGCACCCGCUAACCACGUGCCAGCCGCCGCGGUAAUACGGAGGGUGCAGGCGUUAAUCGGAAUUACUGGGCGUAAAGCGUGCGCAGGCGGCUCCUUAAGUCAGAUGUGAAAGCCCUGGGCUUAACCUGGGAACUGCGUUUGAAACUGGGGAGCUAGAGUGUGGAAGAGGGGGGUGGAAUUCCAGGUGUAGCAGUGAAAUGCGUAGAGAUCUGGAGGAACACCGAUGGCGAAGGCAGCCCCCUGGGCUAACACUGACGCUCAUGCACGAAAGCGUGGGGAGCAAACAGG
rnacentral:rRNA from 1 species